UCCGGAGUAGCAACUGUUGGUCGUUGCGUCUGGCUCUGAACCAGAAGCUCGCAGGUUCGAUUCCUGUCUCCGGUGC
rnacentral:tRNA from 1 species